ACAGUUUUUAGGCCUAUAUAAUAGAAGUUAUGUUAGUCUUACUCGUUACAAAGAAAUAAAAUAUAAAUUGAAAUCUUACAAAAUGGCAUGUCACACCAAUCAAUCUUGUUUUUUCGAGUGUUUUAUGCCUUGUUUUGAUGGUUAGUUCGGGAUUGGUUACCAGUAUUUUGGUCCCUCCCGGAGGAGUUUGUAUAGGGCCUUGUGUUGCAACGUGCGACCAGGAUUGCCGUGGCAAGGGAUUUGGAAAAGGGGGACAAUGUUAUACUCAUCUUGAGAAGACAACAUGUUGUUGUUUUCACCAAUGAAUUUUAUUGUAUGAGUUCAAUAAAAAUAAUAAAACGUGCACUUCAGUUUA